GGUUGGCUGAUCAGAGGGCAAGAGUGCAAUGCUGUUUACAAUUCAUUGAUCACAACCAGUUGCAGAUUUUUUUGUUUCUUCUCCACCCCCACUGCUUUACUUAACUAACCUAGA
ensembl:misc_RNA Y_RNA Y RNA